GGAGGAAACUCUGAUGCAGCGAUGCCGCGUGAGUGAAGAAGGCCUUUGGGUUGUAAAGCUCUUUCGUCGGGGAAGAAAGUGACUGUGCCCGAAUAAUAGGGUCCGGCUAACUUCCUGCCAGCAGCCGCGGUAAUACUAAGGGACCUAGCGUAGUUCGGAAUUACUGGGCUUAAAGAGUUCGUANGUGGUUGAAAAAGUUGGUGGUGAAAUCCCAGAGCUUAACUCUGGAACUGCCCUCCAAACUUUUCAGCUAGAGUAUGAUAGAGGAAAGCAGAAUUUCUAGUGUAGAGGUGAAAUUCGUAUAUAUUAGAAAGAAUACCAAUUGCGAAGGCUGCUUUCUGGAUCAUUACUGACACUGAGGAACGAAAGCAUGGGUAGCGAACAGGAUUAGAUACCCUCGUAGUCCAUGCCGUAAACGAUGUGUGUUAGACGUUGGAAAUUUAUUUUCAGUGUCGCAGCGAAAGCCAUAAACACACCGCCUGGGGAGUACGACCGCAAGGUUAACACUCAGAUGAAUUGACGGGGACCCGCACAAGUAGUGGAGCAUGUGGUUUAAUUCGAAGAUACGCGCAGAACCUUACCAACACUUGACAUGUUCGUCGCGACUUUCAGAGAUUAAAGUUUUCGGUUCGGCCGGACGAAACACAGGUGCUGCAUGGCUGUCGUCAGCUCGUGUCGUGAGAUGUUGGGUUAAGUCCCGCAACGAGCGCAACCCUCAUCUUUAGUUGCCAUCA
rnacentral:rRNA from 1 species